rnacentral:rRNA from 1 species
UAGGGAAUCUUCGGCAAUGGACGAAAGUCUGACCGAGCAACGCCGCGUGAGUGAAGAAGGUUUUCGGAUCGUAAAACUCUGUUGUUAGAGAAGAACAAGGACGUUAGUAACUGAACGUCCCCUGACGGUAUCUAACCAGAAAGCAACGGCUAACUACGUGCCAGCAGCCGCGGUAAUACGUAGGUGGCAAGCGUUGUCCGGAUUUAUUGGGCGUAAAGCGAGCGCAGGCGGUUUCUUAAGUCUGAUGUGAAAGCCCCCGGCUCAACCGGGGAGGGUCAUUGGAAACUGGGAGACUUGAGUGCAGAAGAGGAGAGUGGAAUUCCAUGUGUAGCGGUGAAAUGCGUAGAUAUAUGGAGGAACACCAGUGGCGAAGGCGGCUCUCUGGUCUGUAACUGACGCUGAGGCUCGGAAGCGUGGGGAGCAAACAGG